UACGUAGGUGGCAAGCGUUGUCCGGAUUUAUUGGGCGUAAAGAGCUCGUAGGCGGCUUGUCGCGUCGACUGUGAAAUCCCGCGGCUCAACUGCGGGUCUGCAGUCGAUACGGGCAGGCUAGAGUUCGGUAGGGGAGACUGGAAUUCCUGGUGUAGCGGUGAAAUGCGCAGAUAUCAGGAGGAACACCGGUGGCGAAGGCGGGUCUCUGGGCCGUAACUGACGCUGAGGAGCGAAAGCGUGGGGAGCGAACAGG
rnacentral:rRNA from 1 species